GCCGUCGUCGCGAAGGGUUGUCAGCGGUUUUAUAAACCGUUGAUCCCGGUUCAAUUCCGGGCGGGAGUACCA
rnacentral:tRNA from 1 species